rnacentral:rRNA from 1 species
GUGAACGCUGGCGGUAGGCCUAACACAUGCAAGUCGAACGGCAGCACAGUAAGAGCUUGCUCUUACGGGUGGCGAGUGGCGGACGGGUGAGGAAUACAUCGGAAUCUACUUUUUCGUGGGGGAUAACGUAGGGAAACUUACGCUCAUACCGCAUACGACCUACGGGUGAAAGCAGGGGAUCUUCGGACCUUGCGCGAUUGAAUGAGCCGAUGUCGGAUUAGCUAGUUGGCGGGGUAAAGGCCCACCAAGGCGACGAUCCGUAGCUGGUCUGAGAGGAUGAUCAGCCACACUGGAACUGAGACACGGUCCAGACUCCUACGGGAGGCAGCAGUGGGGAAUAUUGGACAAUGGGCGCAAGCCUGAUCCAGCCAUACCGCGUGGGUGAAGAAGGCCUUCGGGUUGUAAAGCCCUUUUGUUGGGAAAGAAAAGCAGCAGGUUAAUACCCCGCUGUUCUGACGGUACCCAAAGAAUAAGCACCGGCUAACUUCGUG